UACGGAGGGUGCAAGCGUUGCUCGGAAUUACUGGGCGUAAAGCGUGCGUAGACGGUUAUUUAAGUCAGGUGUGAAAGCCCCGGGCUCAACCUGGGAAUUGCAUUUGUGACUGCAUGGCUGGAGUGCGGCAGAGGGGGAUGGAAUUCCGCGUGUAGCAGUGAAAUGCGUAGAUAUCGAGAGGAACACCUGCGGCGAAGGCGGGUUGCUGGGCUGAUGACUGACGCUGAGGCGCGAAAGCUAGGGGAGCAAACGGG
rnacentral:rRNA from 1 species